rnacentral:rRNA from 1 species
UUCAACCUCAAAAGAAGCAGAGGGGGCUUAGUGGUGGGGUGACUGCGUACCUUUUGUAUAAUGGGUCAGCGACUUAUAUUCUGUAGCAAGGUUAACCGAAUAGGGGAGCCGGAGGGAAACCGAGUCUUAACCGGGCGUUAAGUUGCAGGGUAUAGACCCGAAACCCGGUGAUCUAGCCAUGGGCAGGUUGAAGGUUGGGUAACACUAACUGGAGGACCGAACCGACUAAUGUUGAAAAAUUAGCGGAUGACCUGUGGCUGGGGGUGAAAGGCCAAUCAAACCGGGAGAUAGCUGGUUCUCCCCGAAAGCUAUUUAGGUAGCGCCUCGUGAAUUCAUCUCCGGGGGUAGAGCACUGUUUCGGCUAGGGGGCCAUCCCGGCUUACCAACCCGAUGCAAACUGCGAAUACCGGAGAAUGUUAUCACGGGAGACACACGGCGGGUGCUAACGUCCGUCGUGAAGAGGGAAACAACCCAGACCGCCAGCUAAGGUCCCAAAGUCAUGGUUAAGUGGGAAACGAUGUGGGAAGGCCCAGACAGCCAGGAUGUUGGCUUAGAAGCAGCCAUCAUUUAAAGAAAGCGUAAUAGCUCACUGGUCGAGUCGGCCUGCGCGGAAGAUGUAACGGGGCUAAACCAUGCACCGAAGCUGCGGCAGCGACGCUGAUGCGUUGUUGGGUAGGGGAGCGUUCUGUAAGCCUGCGAAGGUGGCCUGUGAGGGUUGCUGGAGGUAUCAGAAGUGCGAAUGCUGACAUAAGUAACGAUAAAGCGGGUGAAAAGCCCGCUCGCCGGAAGACCAAGGGUUCCUGUCCAACGUUAAUCGGGGCAGGGUGAGUCGACCCCUAAGGCGAGGCCGAAAGGCGUAGUCGAUGGGAAACGGGUUAAUAUUCCCGUACUUGGUGUUACUGCGAAGGGGGGACGGAGAAGGCUAUGUUGGCCGGGCGACGGUUGUCCCGGUUUAAGCGUGUAGGUGUGUGUUCCAGGUAAAUCCGGUUCACUUUAACACUGAGGCGUGAUGACGAGGCACUACGGUGCUGAAGCAACAAAUGCCCUGCUUCCAGGAAAAGCCUCUAAGCAUCAGGUAACAUCAAAUCGUACCCCAAACCGACACAGGUGGUCAGGUAGAGAAUACCAAGGCGCUUGAGAGAACUCGGGUGAAGGAACUAGGCAAAAUGGUGCCGUAACUUCGGGAGAAGGCACGCUGACACGUAGGUGAAGUGAUUUACUCAUGGAGCUGAAGUCAGUCGAAGAUACCAGCUGGCUGCAACUGUUUAUUAAAAACACAGCACUGUGCAAACACGAAAGUGGACGUAUACGGUGUGACGCCUGCCCGGUGCCGGAAGGUUAAUUGAUGGGGUCAGCGCAAGCGAAGCUCCUGAUCGAAGCCCCGGUAAACGGCGGCCGUAACUAUAACGGUCCUAAGGUAGCGAAAUUCCUUGUCGGGUAAGUUCCGACCUGCACGAAUGGCGUAAUGAUGGCCAGGCUGUCUCCACCCGAGACUCAGUGAAAUUGAACUCGCUGUGAAGAUGCAGUGUACCCGCGGCAAGACGGAAAGACCCCGUGAACCUUUACUAUAGCUUGACACUGAACAUUGAGCCUUGAUGUGUAGGAUAGGUGGGAGGCUUUGAAGUGUGGACGCCAGUCUGCAUGGAGCCGGCCUUGAAAUACCACCCUUUAAUGUUUGAUGUUCUAACGUGGACCCGUGAUCCGGGUUGCGGACAGUGUCUGGUGGGUAGUUUGACUGGGGCGGUCUCCUCCUAAAGAGUAACGGAGGAGCACGAAGGUUGGCUAAUCCUGGUCGGACAUCAGGAGGUUAGUGCAAUGGCAUAAGCCAGCUUGACUGCGAGCGUGACGGCGCGAGCAGGUGCGAAAGCAGGUCAUAGUGAUCCGGUGGUUCUGAAUGGAAGGGCCAUCGCUCAACGGAUAAAAGGUACUCCGGGGAUAACAGGCUGAUACCGCCCAAGAGUUCAUAUCGACGGCGGUGUUUGGCACCUCGAUGUCGGCUCAUCACAUCCUGGGGCUGAAGUAGGUCCCAAGGGUAUGGCUGUUCGCCAUUUAAAGUGGUACGCGAGCUGGGUUUAGAACGUCGUGAGACAGUUCGGUCCCUAUCUGCCGUGGGCGCUGGAGAACUGAGGGGGGCUGCUCCUAGUACGAGAGGACCGGAGUGGACGCAUCACUGGUGUUCGGGUUGUCAUGCCAAUGGCACUGCCCGGUAGCUAAAUGCGGAAGAGAUAAGUGCUGAAAGCAUCUAAGCACGAAACUUGCCCCGAGAUGAGUUCUCCCUGAGACUUAGAGUCUCCUGAAGGAACGUUGAAGACGACGACGUUGAUAGGCCGGGUGUGUAAGCGCAGCGAUGCGUUGAGCUAACCGGUACUAAUGAACCGUGAGGCUUAACCUU